AUUGAACGCUGGCGGAAUGCUUUACACAUGCAAGUCGAACGGCAGCACGGACUUCGGUCUGGUGGCGAGUGGCGAACGGGUGAGUAAUAUAUCGGAACGUGCCUAGUCGUGGGGGAUAACGUAGUGAAAAUUACGCUAAUACCGCAUACGAUCUAAGGAUGAAAGCGGGGGAUCGCAAGACCUCGCGCGAUUGGAGCGGCCGAUAUCAGAUUAGGUAGUUGGUGAGGUAAAGGCUCACCAAGCCGACGAUCUGUAGCUGGUCUGAGAGGACGACCAGCCACACUGGAACUGAGACACGGUCCAGACUCCUACGGGAGGCAGCAGUGGGGAAUUUUGGACAAUGGACGCAAGUCUGAUCCAGCCAUUCCGCGUGCAGGAUGAAGGCCCUCGGGUUGUAAACUGCUUUUGUACGGUAACGAAAAGGUCUCUAUUAAUACUAGGGCUCAUGACGGUACCGUAAGAAUAAGCACCGGCUAACUACGUGCCAGCAGCC
rnacentral:rRNA from 1 species